GGCCAGACUCCUACGGGAGGCAGCAGUGGGGAAUAUUGCACAAUGGGGGAAACCCUGAUGCAGCGACGCCGCGUGAGCGAUGAAGUAUUUCGGUAUGUAAAGCUCUAUCAGCAGGGAAGAAAAUGACGGUACCUGACUAAGAAGCCCCGGCUAACUACGUGCCAGCAGCCGCGGUAAUACGUAGGGGGCAAGCGUUAUCCGGAUUUACUGGGUGUAAAGGGAGCGUAGACGGUGAAGCAAGUCUGAAGUGAAAGGCGGGGGCUCAACCCCCGGACUGCUUUGGAAACUGUUUGACUGGAGUGCAGGAGAGGUAAGUGGAAUUCCUAGUGUAGCGGUGAAAUGCGUAGAUAUUAGGAGGAACACCAGUGGCGAAGGCGGCUUGCUGGACGAUGACUGACGUUGAGGCUCGAAAGCGUGGGGAGCAAACAGGAUUAGAUACCCGGGUAU
rnacentral:rRNA from 1 species